GGUGAGCACAGGAGGUUCAGAGCAGUGGAGAGUGUUGCCUAAAGAUUCUUCGUAUGUGUGAAAAGAAACAUAGUUAUGUAGGAAUGUCCAGUAUCCUGCAAGAACUGACCCAGGGUCGAGCAAGUCCAGCAGCCAGCAGGUGCCCCCAGAUGGUUUCAGAAGAAGAUGCAAGAAACAUGACCUUCAAUGCAGUACAGAACACCAGCUGCAGUAUCACCGUGUUAACAAAGGCUGGCCAUGUGAUUUUAAUUGGGUAAUUGCCACACUACGACUCCCAGUGACACAACUUUGGAAGAGGCUGUCAUAGAAACCAGUUAACCUCCUUUUGAACUACAAGCGAGACCUAUUGGUCAGCCAUCCCUGUGGCAAUUCCCUUACUUGGUGUGAGAACCAUAUGGAUAGGAAGAAGUAACCUAGACCCAAGAUGCAAGUUCACAGAUUGCAAGACAGGAGGCCAAACACUGAAACAGCAUCUGACAAAAGAAUAUUUGGGCCAGGCAUUUGGAUUCCAAUAACAUAAUGGAUUGCAAGACUUCUUAUUAUAUAAAUGAGGACUCUAGAAAACAGCUGGAUGGUCCAUGUCAAGAAUACAAGCAUGUCUUCUUGAUACAUAUUGAAUCCUGACCUGAGAUGGAAAGUAAUUUUUGUGAACAUAUUUACAGAACAAUGUGUAAUAGAUCUAGCAAAGGCUGAAGGCUGGUAAUAGUGACUGAUGUAGUACCAUGGAGAAAAGAAAUCUGAACACUGCUCUCCGAGGAGGCCGAGUGAGGAGUGAGGGCCAAUAUGCUGAAUGCCUCCCUGCAAAUCUUGAAUCCAGCCUUGCCAUGGUUUGCUGACUGUAUAAUCUCAUUAAGCCAAUGAGUGUUGCACUGAGGUAAAAUUACAGGCGAAUUUUUUGUAUUCAGUAGCUGACAAAGGGAAUGUCCUGAAUUUAUUCUAAUGGCAUGGUUUUACUUUCAGGUAGGUGUUGGCAUUUCAAACUGUUUGUUUCGAUGGCUGCAAGUAUGAAAUGUUCCAUGGUAGAUUACUCACUCUAGCAUGUUCUCUGUGGGCAGGGUUUAUAGAGGGCGAUUCAUGAACUUCGCUUCUUAAACCAUAACCUUCCAUAUAAGGAAGCUCAAGUAGGUCAUGUGCUGAUGGGAGCCAGGAAACACCCAUACGUGUGUGAUGCAAAUCUUACAGCCUGUCUAGUAACUGAGAGUGGCCAACUGAUGUGCAUCCCAGUUUGUCAGAUGUGUUUAUACAUCUUCUGAGAUGUUAUGGAUAUAAAUUGUAUAUCAGAGCUUAGAAUCUGACCCUAAAAAGUAGAUG